AUUGAACGCUGGCGGCAUGCCUUACACAUGCAAGUCGAACGGCAGCACGGGUGCUUGCACCUGGUGGCGAGUGGCGAACGGGUGAGUAAUACAUCGGAACAUGUCCUGUAGUGGGGGAUAGCCCGGCGAAAGCCGGAUUAAUACCGCAUAUGAUCUACGGAUGAAAGCGGGGGACCUUCGGGCCUCGCGCUAUAGGGUUGGCCGAUGGCUGAUUAGCUAGUUGGUGGGGUAAAGGCCUACCAAGGCGACGAUCAGUAGCUGGUCUGAGAGGACGACCAGCCACACUGGGACUGAGACACGGCCCAGACUCCUACGGGAGGCAGCAGUGGGGAAUUUUGGACAAUGGGCGAAAGCCUGAUCCAGCAAUGCCGCGUGUGUGAAGAAGGCCUUCGGGUUGUAAAGCACUUUUGUCCGGAAAGAAAUCCUUGGCCCUAAUACGGUCGGGGGAUGACGGUACCGGAAGAAUAAGCACCGGCUAACUACGUG
rnacentral:rRNA from 1 species